ACCCUACGGCUCGAGAAACAGCAGAUGUAGUGGCUACAAUACUCAUCGAGCACAUCAUCCCGAGGUUUGGAUUGCCCCGGACCCUCCAGUCAGACAACGGACCUGCCUUCAUCUCCAGUGUAACCCAGCAGGUAGCGGAGAGCCUCAACAUAACCUGGAAACUUCACAUCCCAUACCACCCACAGUCAUCGGGGUCGCCUACAAGAACUUGCCCGAGUAUCCGUCAAUCAACUCCUCCUCCAGCCCUACUCUCGCCUGCCCACUUCCGACUACCCUUAUGAUGACGCCCCCUGUCAGCAGGAAGUAGCCAGAACCGAGUCGACGCCCCUGACACCAUUAUAUUAAGCAAAAGGUCGGAAUGUUGGGCUGGCAGGAAGGGCUACCAAAGAUGGCGAAAAUUCCCGCCACAAGACCUGAACUCGGACAGGAGAACAAAGGACCAAGAUGGCGAAAGUUCCCG